rnacentral:lncRNA from 1 species
GGCUUAUUGGCAGAAAAUAACAGUUCCAUCGAGGCAAGUUCAUUACCUGCACAAGAGAUCCACACGAAAAGGCAAGUCACGAAAUUUGCAGAGGGUGUACAAGAGAUCUAAAAUGCAGAAUACACCUCUUGUGUCUGCUUUGGUUGCUACAAGGGUUACUUUAGGCACUGUCAGUCCCAUACUUGCAUCAAUUAUAUUCAGAAUUCACAGUCCUAAUCUCCUGUAAUCAUCACUUUUACUUAAUGAUUAUGCAGAUUAGAAGUUUCAUCUUUUAGACUUUAUG